rnacentral:rRNA from 1 species
CCUACGGGAGGCAGCAGUAGGGAAUCUUCCACAAUGGGCGAAAGCCUGAUGGAGCAACGCCGCGUGGGUGAAGAAGGUCUUCGGAUCGUAAAACCCUGUUGUUAGAGAAGAAAGUGCGUGAGAGUAACUGUUCACGUUUCGACGGUAUCUAACCAGAAAGCCACGGCUAACUACGUGCCAGCAGCCGCGGUAAUACGUAGGUGGCAAGCGUUAUCCGGAUUUAUUGGGCGUAAAGGGAACGCAGGCGGGCUUUUAAGUCUGAUGUGAAAGCCUUGGGCUUAACCGGAGUAGUGCAUUGGAAACUGUGGAACUGGAGUGCAGGAGAGGAGAGUGGAAUUCCAUGUGUAGCGGUGAAAUGCGUAGAUAUAUGGAAGAACACCAGUGGCGAAGGCGGCUCUCUGGUCUGUAACUGACGUUGAGGUUCGAAAGCGUGGGUAGCAAACAGGAUUAGAUACCCGAGUAGUC